rnacentral:rRNA from 1 species
UACAGAGGUGGCAAGCGUUGUUCGGAAUUACUGGGCGUAAAGGGCGAGUAGGUGGCCAUCUAAGUCAGACGUGAAAUCCCCCGGCUUAACCUGGGAACUGCGUCUGAUACUGGACGGCUUGAGUAUGGGAGAGGAACGUAGAAUUCCAGGUGUAGCGGUGAAAUGCGUAGAUAUCUGGAGGAAUACCGGUGGCGAAGGCGGCGUUCUGGACCAUUACUGACACUGAGGAGCGAAAGCCAGGGGAGCAAACGGG